AUUCAUCAAAUCACAAAAAGGAAAUGCCUUAAUUCGUUACCAGGGUUUUACAUUUUGCAGAAAAAUUAUGAAUACGAAGCUGGAAAAAUCUGUUAAUAAAUAUCGGUGGAGAUGUUCAACCCAUAGUAACAGAGGUUGUACUGCGUUCAUUUAUACAUUAGAUGAUGAAAUUAUAAGAGUCAGUAAUAUACAUAACCAUAUUUUGCAAUACGUGAGAUCACAACGAGGCAGCACUUUGAUACUCUACGAUGGAUAUACAUUUUUCAGAUCAAUCCAACACAGAAAAAUUGAACGUUCUCUGCAAAAAUAUCGAUGGAGAUGUUCCACACAUAGUGGCAAAGGUUGCACCGCGUCCAUUUACACACUGAAAGAUGAAAUUAUUAAAGUGAAAAAUGAUCAUAACCAUGCCUGUAAUUCUAAUUGGUAAGCACAGAAAGGCUAGCCGUAUUUAUAAAUGGUCUUUGAAUUCCUAGAAAUAAAAUCUUUAUGAAUAAUU